CAGUCGCCACGGUAAUACGGAGGGUGCAAGCGUUAAUCGGAAUUACUGGGCGUAAAGCGCACGCAGGCGGUCUGACAAGUCAGAUGUGAAAUCCCCGGGCUUAACCUGGGAACUGCAUUUGAAACUGUCAGGCUGGAGUCUUGUAGAGGGGGGUGGAAUUCCAGGUGUAGCGGUGAAAUGCGUAGAGAUCUGGAGGAAUACCGGUGGCGAAGGCGGCCCCCUGGACAAAGACUGACGCUCAGGUGCGAAAGCGUGGGGAGCAAACAGGAUUAGAUACCCCUGUAGUCCCUGUCUCUUAUAC
rnacentral:rRNA from 1 species